rnacentral:lncRNA from 1 species
GGGAAAGACUGAACCAUGAAAGGUAAAAUUUUGAAGGAAGGUGAACUGUUGUUUUACUGUUUCACUGUGUGUGUGUGUGCGUGUGUAUUCUUGAGCAGUAUGUCAUAGGGUCUAGGAAUCAUUCUGGGUUUAUGAAUAUACCUGUACAACUGACAGAAUGAUGUAUUACCUUGUAGGUCACUGGAAUAGAGUCCAGAUGUGCUUAAAUGUUUAUGAAAAAACUUGCCUGUUAUCACAGAGACCCAGUGUCACAUGUGGGCCAGCACGACAGUAUUGUUACUGGACCUCACAGGGAAAUCUAUCUAAAAUUGAACUCUAUUUCAAAUAUAGCUUUUUUUUCCCCCAAAUUUGAAAGUGACAUGAUACUCAUUAAUUUUUUUUUUACAUUCAUUUGAAAAGCCAUUAAGUUAUUUACCAUUACUUCACAGUAGCACCGAUCCUUUCAAUCUCGAAACCUCAGUAGCAUGAGCUUUACUUUCUGCCACUGCCCUGGGAGUCACGCUUCUUAGGGGACCAUGAAUUUCCAGGGAACUACACUAUUAUUUCAUAUGUGCAACACUUUAAUGUCUUCUUUGAUCCCAACCACUGCUAGAUGUUCAGGAGAGGUGAGAAUGUGGUCGGAGUUGAAAGACUGGAGCUCUCUGCAGGCCAGGUAGAGUGUAGAAAAUUGCAGAGGUGAAAAACCAGGCAGCUCAUGCAGAAGGCUGCGGGCUUCUAUUAGAGCUUUGAUUUGAGAGAAUUUAUUUUCAUUGUGCCAGAGGGACUGUGUGUAAUUCUGCAGAUAUUUUUUUUGUGGAAAACCUUCAGUAAGGAAAAAGGACAGCAGUGUUGUCCCACAGCACGUCCUGUGAUGAUGGAGAGGACCUCGUUCAGGACCGUGCGACGUGGGGGUCGCUAGCCACGUGCCUCUUUUGAGCACUUGAAAUGUGGCGAACGUGCCAAAGGAACUGAAUUUUUAUUUAUUUUUAUUUAUUUUUAUUUUUUUUUUAUUUUUGCUAUUUCUUGGGCUGCUCCCACGGCAUAUGGAGGUUCCCAGGCUAGGGGUCUAAUUGGAGCAGUAGCCACCAGCCUACGCCACAGCCACAGCAACUCGGGAUCCGAGCUGCAUCUGCAACCUACACCACAGCUCACGGCAACGCCGGAUCCUUAACCUACUGAGUGAGCCCAGGGAUCAAACCCGCAACCUCAUGGUUCCUAGUCAGAUUCGUUUCCGAUACACCACGACAGGAACGCCUGAUUUAUUCUUUAUAUCUCCCUUACUUCUCCAUCCUCUUUACUUCAGAAAUGUAUAUUCUUAGCAAUGUGACUCUCAAGUUGUGUCUAAUUUGUCAGGGGCUGCAGUCCUGGCUUCCCUUAAAUAUAGGUAGUAAAUGAGAUAUAAAGAUAAAUAUAAAUAUUUAUAAAUUCCUUUAUAGAGAAAUAUAAAGAUAUUUAUAUUUAUACAUUCUUUAGAGAUAAAGAAUUUUUCUGAUAUAGGGUGUUUUUGCUUCACAUGUUUUGUUGGGUUUAACUAGAAUGCAGAAUGAAAAAAUAAUCUUAAUGCCAACUCAGUCUUCUUAGCGUAUUUUCUUCUUUAGUUCUGCUCAUUAGAAGUCCUCAAAGACUUCCUAUAAUUAUUACAUUAAAAGCCUCCAUUGUCAGUUGAGAUGCAUCCUUUGUAACCACUUUCUUUUUAUUUUGACUUCACAUUUUACCUUUUAGAAAUAACGUGUUAGGAGUUCCCAUCUUGGUGCAGUGAAAACAAAUCCGACUAGGAACCACGAAGUUGCGGAUUCGAUCUCUGGCCUCCCUCAGUGGGUUAGGGAUCCGGUGUUGCCGUGAGCUGUGGUGUAGGUCGCAGAUGCGCUCGGAUCCCGUGUUGCUGUGGCUGUAGUGUAGGCUGGCAGCUGUAGCUCUGAUUCGACCCAUAGCCUGGGAACCUCUAUA